AGUAAAGUUUUUAUUUAUUUUAUUUUUUAUUUGUCUUUAUUCUGCAUUCUGCAUUUAGGAAGCAGUAUGGGUUAACCGUUAACUGCAGCACUGUUUCGUUUGUAAAUUGUAUGUAUGAACGUGUUCAGACUAUGUGUGUGUAAAUUGUAUGGACAUAGUUUUUGUUGUGUUGAUUUAAGUGAUUGCUGUUGAUGUAUUAUGUUGAUGUUUGUGUAUGUUUUCCCCAAUGAAGUAUUUUUCUGUAAAAAAAGUAUGAACAUGGUAGACAUAGAAGGGUGAUGGCUACACUAUACUAUACAUUUAUAGACUAAAUUUACUAGCUUAUCAACCGUUAUUGGAAGAUAUCCUGCACUAAACGAUGGAUAUUUGAACAGUUAGCAAACAAGAGAUGUCUUUUGAUAAUUUGAAGACUCCUCCCAGGUGACAGGAGUUUGGAGGAGGAGUGAAAUUGUGAAGAUUCCUAUUGAUGAGAGGGGUGCAGGCCACAAAGGCCUAGGGCCUCUGCCAACCUGAACGACCUGAACGCGGCGAACAAAGAUAAGCCCCAUGCUUACCCCCUGUACAUGGCAGUAAUUAACAGUGACCUGAACGACCUGAACGAGGUGAACAAGGAUAAGCCCGCCACUUACCCUCGGUGACCUGAACACGGCGAAUAAGGAUAAGCCCACCACAAGAGGCCACCUCCUUCAGCUUCAGCUCCCUUACUCAACCGCCACCAGAGAGAUGGUGACAGGAGUUUGGAGGAGGAGUGAAAUUGUGAAGAUUCCUAUUGAUGAGAGGGGUGCAGGCCACAAAGGCCUAGGGCCUCUGCCAACCUGAACGACCUGAACGCGGCGAACAAAGAUAAGCCCCAUGCUUACCCCCUGUACAUGGCAGUAAUUAACAGUGACCUGAACGACCUGAACGAGGUGAACAAGGAUAAGCC